GCCUGUGUAGUAUAGUAGUUAUUAUGGUUCCCUCGUAAGGAAAUGGUCGGGAGUGCGAAUCUCCCCAUGGGCU
rnacentral:tRNA from 1 species